AACGGAUAGGUUUCUGGGAUUUUAAUUUCAAGUUGAAAUCUGCCACCUCGGAAACCAAAGAGAAACCACAACAUGUUUCAGGGUGACUAAUCGGGACUUCACUGUGUCGUGGCAGGGAUCAUUGCACUGCGGCUCGGGGACAAUACCUUCAUACGGCGUAUCGGGAGGACCAGCGAUCUCCCCCCGCAGCUCCGUGAAGUUCUCAUCCACCAGAUCUACUUUUAUCUGGUUUUUACUCGUCUGAGGGUUGCGACAAACGAGAAGGCAGCGUUAUUCCCGGUGUCCACGGCACCACAGUACUCACGGCUCCGUGCCUCGCCACCGUCGAGUAUGAAAUCACGCGCUUUUACAAACACACGUGAAAAGUCAAAGGCACAUCAGCUGAAACGUUAGCUGCUUCCAAGUGUGUCCACGGUGGUGCGUCGGGACAUUUAAAUGUUAGCGGCGUGGAUAGCUCGCUACUGGAGCCAAGCUAGCAAAAAGUUGACUUAACUACAAACCCGCAAUAACAACACUUGACAGACAGUAGCAGAGAAACACUAAAUAUGUAACGUUAAUAUUACAUUAGACACCAAGUGUUAAAAAAUAGCAAGUCACGUUAUGUCAUGAACACGAGAGGCUAAUGCUAACAGACGUUGAGAUGUCAAAAUAUCGCUAGCAAGCUAAAAGCUGCUACCUCCCUGAGCCAGUGAGUAAUUAAACACUUAAUUAACGCCCCCGGGCUUCUCAGUUAAGGCUUGAAUUGCCCGCACACGGUAUGUUUCAUGCGGCUAGGUGGUUAGCCACAGGUAUUCAGAAGCUUUCGUUACAGACAGGCGGCCUGUCCGUUGGCAAAGCGGAAGCCUCGGUGUUUCCUGAACACACCCACCUGACAACAAGGGGAUAGUUUCGGCCGUGCCAUCGACGUCAAGCUAAGCUAGCUAAAGUUCUGCUGAUGAGGCCUGACCUAGAGGACCUGUCGAUACAGAUCUCCUCUCCUUUCACUUUCACCGUCGACCGCUUAUUUUCCCCUCAGAGACAAACGCCGUCACCGCCGCCAGCCAGUCCGUCCAGAAGGCACAGCGCACAGAGAGCAGCCCGGCGGAGUAGAGCCUGGAAGUUUCAUUGAUGGUUUCUGGUGCGUUGAGUUGUGUUGUUUUUCAUGCUCGCCUUUUCAGGACAUUUCUCAUCGUGUGCUGAACACAUCGGGUUUAUAUUUCCCACGGCUGGUGACUAUGAUAUUUUAUUAACACAGACGUGUUUUAGUAUGACUAAGGCGUAAUGGAGCUUCUACUAGAUUGUUUUUAUUAUGGAACAACGUAACUAAAGGAACACAUCUGUUUUUCACCCUUCAACUUCUAUCACUGUUACAUACCAACACUUCAACGGAAAGUGCUUAAAAAUCCACUUCCAUAGAAAUGAUCUCCACUGAAUGAGCAACAAAUAUUUGGAUUAACCGAAAGUGAUGAAAUAUUGUACUUUUUAUGUUACAGAACAUGCAUAGAACAAAAUGUACUUAAUGUUGUACUUUUGAUAUGUGUUAUAAUUGGAUGGUUAUUAAGUAAAGUAAGCAGACUUUUGUACAUGUAUGAUACAAUAUUACCCUCUGCAAUAUGUUGGAAUUGAAGCAUGGAGUAGCAUACAAUAAAGAAAAAUAGACAUAUAA